UUUACUUUCUUAUAUCUUUUGGUAUCAUGAUAUGGAGACCCUUUAUUUGAGAAUGUGCAUCCCUCUUUUUAAAAAUGUUACACCUCUUGAACUGCAUUAUGCACAAUUUAUUAAGGGCUAAAUAUUUAUUUUUGAUGCCAAUGUGCAAGUUAUUUGAAGAUUAAUUGCUAAAUAUGAAAUGUAUGCAUUUAUAAUAGACAGAACUCUGUAUUGUAGGUUGCUUUAGCUAUUUUUUUUUGGCUAGACAUGGAAGUUCAGCCUCCCGAAAAUAUAUGUUGGAAUGCAUCAGGGGACCAAAAUUCGUUCCUUGUGGGGCACAGCUCAGUUGUUUUUGCAUCCUCGUUACAUGCAUCGUGGUGCUUCUAGGUUACGCAUUAUCUAGGGGGCGAAAAUUAUGUUUUCUGGGGUGGUCGGGAGGGUUAUCAGACCCUUUUAAACACAGAUAUGGAAAGAGAGCUUGAUCAUAAGGGUUUAUGGAAGCUGCUGUUGCCUUCAAGAAGAAAAUUGGAUUCAACGAGGAGAUGAUUGGAGGUCUCACUCACAGUACCAUUCAGGCAAGCUCUUGAAACUGGGCAGUUUUAUUGUUUCAUGUACUGCUUUUAAUUUAUUUUUAACACACUUAAACUUUUACUUUCUUAUAUCUUUUGGUAUCAUGAUAUGGAGACCCUUUAUUUGAGAAUGUGCAUCCCUCUUUUUAAAAAUGUUACACCUCUUGAACUGCAUUAUGCACAAUUUAUUAAGGGCUAAAUAUUUAUUUUUGAUGCCAAUGUGCAAGUUAUUUGAAGAUUAAUUGCUAAAUAUGAAAUGUAUGCAUUUAUAAUAGACAGAACUCUGUAUUGUAGGUUGCUUUAGCUAUUUUUUUUUGGCUAGACAUGGAAGUUCAGCCUCCCGAAAAUAUAUGUUGGAAUGCAUCAGGGGACCAAAAUUCGUUCCUUGUGGGGCACAGCUCAGUUGUUUUUGCAUCCUCGUUACAUGCAUCGUGGUGCUUCUAGGUAGUUAUUUCUAUUUCUAUUUUGCUACUUGAAUAUGAUAACUGUGCUCACAAAAUUCUUGGGUUUGCCGUAGUGCAAGUCAAGAAAGCCAUGGAGGUUACGCAUUAUCUAGGGGGCGAAAAUUAUGUUUUCUGGGGUGGUCGGGAGGGUUAUCAGACCCUUUUAAACACAGAUAUGGAAAGAGAGCUUGAUCAUAAGGGUUUAUGGAAGCUGCUGUUGCCUUCAAGAAGAAAAUUGGAUUCAACGAGGAGAUGAUUGGAGGUCUCACUCACAGUACCAUUCAGGCAAGCUCUUGAAACUGGGCAGUUUUAUUGUUUCAUGUACUGCUUUUAAUUUAUUUUUAACACACUUAAACUUUUACUUUCUUAUAUCUUUUGGUAUCAUGAUAUGGAGACCCUUUAUUUGAGAAUGUGCAUCCCUCUUUUUAAAAAUGUUACACCUCUUGAACUGCAUUAUGCACAAUUUAUUAAGGGCUAAAUAUUUAUUUUUGAUGCCAAUGUGCAAGUUAUUUGAAGAUUAAUUGCUAAAUAUGAAAUGUAUGCAUUUAUAAUAGACAGAACUCUGUAUUGUAGGUUGCUUUAGCUAUUUUUUUUUGGCUAGACAUGGAAGUUCAGCCUCCCGAAAAUAUAUGUUGGAAUGCAUCAGGGGACCAAAAUUCGUUCCUUGUGGGGCACAGCUCAGUUGUUUUUGCAUCCUCGUUACAUGCAUCGUGGUGCUUCUAGGUUACGCAUUAUCUAGGGGGCGAAAAUUAUGUUUUCUGGGGUGGUCGGGAGGGUUAUCAGACCCUUUUAAACACAGAUAUGGAAAGAGAGCUUGAUCAUAAGGGUUUAUGGAAGCUGCUGUUGCCUUCAAGAAGAAAAUUGGAUUCAACGAGGAGAUGAUUGGAGGUCUCACUCACAGUACCAUUCAGGCAAGCUCUUGAAACUGGGCAGUUUUAUUGUUUCAUGUACUGCUUUUAAUUUAUUUUUAACACACUUAAACUUUUACUUUCUUAUAUCUUUUGGUAUCAUGAUAUGGAGACCCUUUAUUUGAGAAUGUGCAUCCCUCUUUUUAAAAAUGUUACACCUCUUGAACUGCAUUAUGCACAAUUUAUUAAGGGCUAAAUAUUUAUUUUUGAUGCCAAUGUGCAAGUUAUUUGAAGAUUAAUUGCUAAAUAUGAAAUGUAUGCAUUUAUAAUAGACAGAACUCUGUAUUGUAGGUUGCUUUAGCUAUUUUUUUUUGGCUAGACAUGGAAGUUCAGCCUCCCGAAAAUAUAUGUUGGAAUGCAUCAGGGGACCAAAAUUCGUUCCUUGUGGGGCACAGCUCAGUUGUUUUUGCAUCCUCGUUACAUGCAUCGUGGUGCUUCUAGGUUACGCAUUAUCUAGGGGGCGAAAAUUAUGUUUUCUGGGGUGGUCGGGAGGGUUAUCAGACCCUUUUAAACACAGAUAUGGAAAGAGAGCUUGAUCAUAAGGGUUUAUGGAAGCUGCUGUUGCCUUCAAGAAGAAAAUUGGAUUCAACGAGGAGAUGAUUGGAGGUCUCACUCACAGUACCAUUCAGGCAAGCUCUUGAAACUGGGCAGUUUUAUUGUUUCAUGUACUGCUUUUAAUUUAUUUUUAACACACUUAAACUUUUACUUUCUUAUAUCUUUUGGUAUCAUGAUAUGGAGACCCUUUAUUUGAGAAUGUGCAUCCCUCUUUUUAAAAAUGUUACACCUCUUGAACUGCAUUAUGCACAAUUUAUUAAGGGCUAAAUAUUUAUUUUUGAUGCCAAUGUGCAAGUUAUUUGAAGAUUAAUUGCUAAAUAUGAAAUGUAUGCAUUUAUAAUAGACAGAACUCUGUAUUGUAGGUUGCUUUAGCUAUUUUUUUUUGGCUAGACAUGGAAGUUCAGCCUCCCGAAAAUAUAUGUUGGAAUGCAUCAGGGGACCAAAAUUCGUUCCUUGUGGGGCACAGCUCAGUUGUUUUUGCAUCCUCGUUACAUGCAUCGUGGUGCUUCUAGGUUACGCAUUAUCUAGGGGGCGAAAAUUAUGUUUUCUGGGGUGGUCGGGAGGGUUAUCAGACCCUUUUAAACACAGAUAUGGAAAGAGAGCUUGAUCAUAAGGGUUUAUGGAAGCUGCUGUUGCCUUCAAGAAGAAAAUUGGAUUCAACGAGGAGAUGAUUGGAGGUCUCACUCACAGUACCAUUCAGGCAAGCUCUUGAAACUGGGCAGUUUUAUUGUUUCAUGUACUGCUUUUAAUUUAUUUUUAACACACUUAAACUUUUACUUUCUUAUAUCUUUUGGUAUCAUGAUAUGGAGACCCUUUAUUUGAGAAUGUGCAUCCCUCUUUUUAAAAAUGUUACACCUCUUGAACUGCAUUAUGCACAAUUUAUUAAGGGCUAAAUAUUUAUUUUUGAUGCCAAUGUGCAAGUUAUUUGAAGAUUAAUUGCUAAAUAUGAAAUGUAUGCAUUUAUAAUAGACAGAACUCUGUAUUGUAGGUUGCUUUAGCUAUUUUUUUUUGGCUAGACAUGGAAGUUCAGCCUCCCGAAAAUAUAUGUUGGAAUGCAUCAGGGGACCAAAAUUCGUUCCUUGUGGGGCACAGCUCAGUUGUUUUUGCAUCCUCGUUACAUGCAUCGUGGUGCUUCUAGGUUACGCAUUAUCUAGGGGGCGAAAAUUAUGUUUUCUGGGGUGGUCGGGAGGGUUAUCAGACCCUUUUAAACACAGAUAUGGAAAGAGAGCUUGAUCAUAAGGGUUUAUGGAAGCUGCUGUUGCCUUCAAGAAGAAAAUUGGAUUCAACGAGGAGAUGAUUGGAGGUCUCACUCACAGUACCAUUCAGGCAAGCUCUUGAAACUGGGCAGUUUUAUUGUUUCAUGUACUGCUUUUAAUUUAUUUUUAACACACUUAAACUUUUACUUUCUUAUAUCUUUUGGUAUCAUGAUAUGGAGACCCUUUAUUUGAGAAUGUGCAUCCCUCUUUUUAAAAAUGUUACACCUCUUGAACUGCAUUAUGCACAAUUUAUUAAGGGCUAAAUAUUUAUUUUUGAUGCCAAUGUGCAAGUUAUUUGAAGAUUAAUUGCUAAAUAUGAAAUGUAUGCAUUUAUAAUAGACAGAACUCUGUAUUGUAGGUUGCUUUAGCUAUUUUUUUUUGGCUAGACAUGGAAGUUCAGCCUCCCGAAAAUAUAUGUUGGAAUGCAUCAGGGGACCAAAAUUCGUUCCUUGUGGGGCACAGCUCAGUUGUUUUUGCAUCCUCGUUACAUGCAUCGUGGUGCUUCUAGGUUACGCAUUAUCUAGGGGGCGAAAAUUAUGUUUUCUGGGGUGGUCGGGAGGGUUAUCAGACCCUUUUAAACACAGAUAUGGAAAGAGAGCUUGAUCAUAAGGGUUUAUGGAAGCUGCUGUUGCCUUCAAGAAGAAAAUUGGAUUCAACGAGGAGAUGAUUGGAGGUCUCACUCACAGUACCAUUCAGGCAAGCUCUUGAAACUGGGCAGUUUUAUUGUUUCAUGUACUGCUUUUAAUUUAUUUUUAACACACUUAAACUUUUACUUUCUUAUAUCUUUUGGUAUCAUGAUAUGGAGACCCUUUAUUUGAGAAUGUGCAUCCCUCUUUUUAAAAAUGUUACACCUCUUGAACUGCAUUAUGCACAAUUUAUUAAGGGCUAAAUAUUUAUUUUUGAUGCCAAUGUGCAAGUUAUUUGAAGAUUAAUUGCUAAAUAUGAAAUGUAUGCAUUUAUAAUAGACAGAACUCUGUAUUGUAGGUUGCUUUAGCUAUUUUUUUUUGGCUAGACAUGGAAGUUCAGCCUCCCGAAAAUAUAUGUUGGAAUGCAUCAGGUUCACUUGUUUUUUGUUAUUGAUUUUCAAUUAUUUUUUCAGCGUGUUGGAUGACUAAUCUGCGCGUUUGAGCAAUCUUCAUGGAGCAUUGUCUACCUCGAAAUAAACCACACAAAACUUUAAGAGAUCCCAGUUGGUCAAACAACUAUUUUUUAGGGAUUUGUCUUUCAAAAUGAAAUUUGUCAGCAGAACCCUUUAUUAAUUAAUUGAAACAUAUUGGUUAAUUUUAUAAUUUAUGAUUACCAUUGAAUAAUUGUCACCAUUUUUCCUUUUUGCUGAAUUUAUUUUGUUUUGGCAAGUGACCUUGAAAAUUCACUUGGUCACUGCUGUUCAUUUUCUAUUGUUUUGUAAACUUGACGGAAUGAAACAACUUGUUAUUAUAAUACUUGGAAUUCAAUUACAUAUGAUUGCUCUUAGCUUAUUGAUCUGCCCCUUGACUCGAGAUGAGGUAAUGUGAAGUGGAUUCUUACCCAUAAGAAUAACUUCAUGACUUGGGCAUUUGAGAAUUAAUAAUUAAAAUGGGAUGCCAUUAAUUUUUGAAGUAUAAACAAAAUGACGUUUUUUGCCUUCUACGUUAACCAUGAGUACUCUUAUUUAUUUGUUCUUUCACCAGUCUUAUAUUUUUGUUUGUUAUCUGUACAAUUUAUUUUUAAUCCAUAUCUUAGUCUGUCCUCUUGCUUAGACUCUAAAGCGACAUACCCCGGCGCUUGGCACCCAUGCCAUAUAGAUAGAUAGAAUUAAGUAGAAGAAAUUUGGCAUCCUUUGCUUUAAUCACAUCACU